UUUUUUUUUUAGUUUGCUUUGUGUGUUUACUCAAAAGUAUUAAGGUUAAGCAUGUGUCAAUUAUAGUAUUUGUUUCAAUAUCUUUACAUUUGCAUGAUAUGUUUGUUUCAAUCUUUAAUGGGUUGAAUUUCUUAUUGGAGCAAACAACUUCAAUUUCACUUAUAUGUGUUGGAUCUUGAUUUGGAUUUUCAAGUUGAAAAAAUUGCUUUUAUUACUUAUGCUAGCAACAAUGAAGAGAAAGUCCAUUAUAUGACUUGGGAAAUGUCAAACAGACUUAACCUGAUGUUUAUGUGAAUGAGCAUAAGUUCCAACUUAACAAUGUAAACUACCUAACUACAAAAAGGGCAGACAUGCGACUAGGUUAAGAGACUUGACUGUUAGUCGUACUGCUGAUCAAACAUUGCCCAUUGAGUUCGAUAUGAAUACGAGAAAUUUUUUUCGGUGAGUGUUCCUGUCGGUUGACUCGAGGGCCUUCAUACGUCUCACGAUACUCCCACGCCCGAUUCUCUGUGCCUUCGUUCGUGCCUUUCCUACGAUCAAACACCUGAAAUCACAAAGACAAAGGGCGCCCUAGAGGUCGUUUGCACUCCGACGCUCACGUCAGUGUAGGGCUAGGAAACACCAAAGUAAGCUGUAAAAAGCUCCUGUGUAAUUUGUGUGUGUGAAGCGGCGCAAAUGAAUAACGUACCUUACUAGGUUUGUUACUAUCCUUUAUAUAGUCCAGGGUUUCCACUACCCAAAAUAUCUGAGGGUGGGCCCUAGUGCCGCUAUUACCCAUUCUUAGGGCAACCUAGCGCGUAGGGCUCCCUAACUGGAGUGCGACCUCUAAUGAGACGACCACCUGGGUGCCAACUCGUACACCUGAUCUCUAGGAUCGCCCACCUUAGGAGCGCCCUAGCGAUUCACGUGCCAUGCAUGCAACUCACCUCUUGGACGUGACCCUCUCAGGUUGUAUCUUUCCCAAUGGCUCUUUACUUGUGUUACGCCUGAACGCGUCAUCCACACCACACGCAUGGACUCUCGUGACCUAGGCUUCUCCCUAACUGAUUACUGGUGUGUGGUCUGGGAUCCACCUCUCGUGGCCCAGCUUUGUUGUUCGAGUCAUUGAUGUCCGACCUCUCUAAAAUGCCGAGCAUAAAUUAGCACAUCCUGGUGAUCGAUGUCUGACCACACUUCGGUACCUUGGCGCACGUGCCUCGCGAGACACUGACACAUGCCGCUCGUGGGACCUAUCUCACGCGGCCCCAUCAUUACAAGUGGUCAAACAACGCCCGAAGACUGGUCGGUACAGAGAGCAUAACACAAAAUUCACUAGUUAUCUGGCCUUGCUAUACUUGCUUUGUAUAUGCAUGAAUUUUGUGUUACAGGACCUUUCAAGUACAUGUGUUAUGAUGAAGAAUGAUCAAAGUGAUGCUUAUGGUUCAAGAGCAUAUACACCUUACUCAUAUUCUUGACAAGUUAAAAUUCAUUACCUAUGUAAAGGAACUUCAAGAAUAAAGAGUUUGAUCUGGUGUUGUUGAUGGCUUAUAGUUGUGGAGGAGUCUGUCCAUGUGGUGUUUGAUGAAAUCAUUCAUAGUGAUCAAAGUUUUACAAAGGUUUAUGCAGAAGAAGAUGAGCAGAACAUCACCUUGGAGAAGCGAGAAUCCUGUCCAGAAAAACAACCGAUUGAUUCUGCAAAACAACCGGUUGAAAUUCUACAACAGGAAGAGCUGCCAAAGGAAUGGAGAAUUCUAAGGGAUCUUUUAGUGGAGAACAUCAUUGGAUGCAAAUGGGUUUUCAUAAACAAGUUGGAUGAAUCUGGAGUAAUUACAAGGAACAAGGCAAGGCUUAUGACUAAAGGUUAUAAUCAAGAAGAAGACAUAGAUUAUGGUGAAACCUUUGCUCCAGUUGCAAGAUUAGAAGCUGUAAGGUUUCUGUUGGCCUUUGCUUGUAUGAGUAGAUUCAAAAUGUUUCAAAUGGAUGUUAAGUGUGCUUUCCUCAAUGGAAUCAUCAAUGAGGAAGUAUAUCUUGAACAACCACCGAGCUUUAAAGAACAUCAACAUCCUAACCAUGUAUACAAGCUGAAAAAGGCUUUGUAUGGGCUUAAGCAAGCUCCAAAGCAGUGUGGUAUGAGAGGCUUAGUAACUUGUAUAUGUUCAUCCUAUGUAAAGUAAGUUCUAUAUGUUCAUCCUAUGCUUUUGGCUUCAUAAGAUCAAAUGAGAUUCUAUACAUGCAUGACGUAAUGCAAAGGUAUGAAUGUAUUUCAUUAUGCAUUAACCAUGACUUUGAAAGAUGAUUUACUUUGAAAAAUAACAUUUUUUUUGCUGUCUCAGAAAAACAACCGAUUGUUUUACCUCUGGAACAUUUGAAUAAAGCUGUUAUGAUUUCUUAUGCAUCAUUACAACUGUUUAUUUUCUUUCAUAACUCAUUAUGAAUCAAAUAUGCAUUCUUUGUGCCUCUGAAUUAGAUCAUAAAGAGAUAUAUUCUUUGUUUUCCUUGAAAUUCAAAGCUUUUUAUGAAUAGCAACCACAUUGGUGGUCAUGGGGUUGAUGAAUAUUUAUGAAUGUAUCUUUGGAUUAUCUGGAAGGUUUGCUCUUAACAGAAGAAAGAAUAUUUCUAUCGAAUCCACCUCUUGAGCAAUCAUUUGACCAACUUGAAUUGCUGGAUGAAGAAAAGAUAGGGGGAGAAAUUGUGGUCUCCUUGCUGAAAUUUCUGGGGUCUAUGGUACUUUGAUUUUGCUGCUGUCAUAACUCUAAUACACCAUAGAUCUUUGCUGCAAAUUUGAUAUGGUAUCAAAGAUUUGUUGUUGCAAUGGUGCUGCUACAACACACAGGUUUUCUGGUUUAUCAUGUUGUUGCUAUAUGCUAGUUUUCAAUGCUAGAAAUUCUGCUGUUGGUAUCCCUUCUUUCAUUCUAUUUGAGAAGACAAAUAGGGGGAGAAUGGUGUGGUUUUAUGUGUUGUGUUGCUGCUGCUACACUAUGGUGUUAUCUGGUUUUAUCAUGGUUUAAAUUUUGUUGUUUCCAUGCUCUUAUUCACCAUAAGUUCUGCUGCACACAAGUCUCAUUUUGGCACUGGUUUUUAUGGUUAUUUGACUGGUUUUUCUGCUUAAAGGCUUAUGCAGAAAACUGGUUUUGUGUGCCUUGGUAUCCUGUUGGUAUACUUGCUUUGUAUAUGCACAAAUUCUGUUUUGCACGACCUUUCAAGUUCAAAAACAACAACACAAACAAACCAGGGAUUUGUCUUCAUCAAAUAGGGGGAGAUUGUUGAACAAGAUGCUUUGAUGUCUCCAAAUCCAAGAGGAAAGCUUGAAGACCUUGUUGUUGGGGGUGUGUGUGUGUUGUCUAGUUGUUUGAAACUUGUUAAUUCACUUCUUAAGAUGAUCCAAGUUCAUUUGAAUCUUUAACCUUUUGAAAAGAUGUGUUUUCUAAAAAGCUGUCAAAAAUUCAACAUUUAGGUUGCUGUUAAAGAAAUUCAGCAAGUCCCUAAAGAAGAGAAACAACAAAAGUGACUCAUUCAAUAGGUAUGAUAACAAGAAACCUACUGAGUUUAACACUAACAAAUAUACAUGCUUUGGAUGUGGUGAACAGGGUCAUAUUAAAACUGAAUGUCCCAACAAAAAGAGGAAAAACUUCAAGAAGCAUGAGAAGAAAGGAAAAUCAAGAAGAGCUUAUAAUGAUGACUCAUCAAGCUCCUCUUCAAGUGAUGAAGAAGAAGCAAUCUUAUGUCAAAUGACAAGACAAGAAAGUGACACAAGCAGUGUAAGUUCAAGCUCUUCCAUUAAUGUUGAAAACUAUAGCCAACUUCUUGAGGCCUUCAAUGAGACUCAUGAAGAAGCUAAUAGGUUGGCCCUUUUGAACAAUCGGUUGAAAGGUUUAAACAACUGGUUGGAAAAUCGAGUCAAGACUUUGGAAGAAGAGUUGAACCAUACAAAAACAGAUUUUGAAAGUUUGGAAAUGAUUUACAAAAACUCUUCUUGCAAGUGUGAUUCUAGCUUUUUUGAAAAUUGUGAAUCUCUUCAAAAGAAGGUUCACUAUCUUUUAAAAACCAUGGACAAGUUUUCCAAAGGCCAAUCCAAUCUUGAAACUGUUCUUGCUUCUCCAAAAUGUGUUUUUGGCAAGGCUGGGUUGGGGUUUAAUCCAAACAACAAGAACAAAUCUGUUUCAAAACCCUUUUCAAGUUUCUUUGAAAAACAACCUGUUGUUUUAUCAAAACAACCGGUUGAAAUUUGUCAUUACUGCAUGAAAAGGGGCCACACUAUUAGAUUCUGCAGAGUAAGAAGGUUUUUUGUUCCUAAAGGUAUUUUGAAAUGGGUUCCUAAGGUUUCUAAGGUUCCUACUAACAUCAUUGGACCCAAAUUCAUAAGGGGGACCAAAUCUUGCGUCUUAAUCUUUUCUUGUAGGUAUCCUUUGUAGCCAAAAAUCACCUUUGGGCUUGAAGAAUGACUGUCAAAGGGAAAAGUGACAAGAGUAAAGUCAAUCUUUGUACCUACACUUUCAAUUGUAUAUGUCUUGCAAGGUUCUUUGAAUGUCAAGAGACAUCCUUGGCACAUGCAUAGUGUUGAUCAAAAGAAACUUCAAAGAGAGUAUGUGUGUUUUCAUUUCUCAAUUUAUGUAAAUGUGCCUUGUGACCAUAUGAACAUCUCAAAGUCUUCUUUAUGAGUGAAUCUAUUGGGGUUCUCUAUGCAAAGGUAUGAACAAAUUGCAUACUGCAUUUUCAUCAAUUUAAAAGAUAAUUUUUUUGUUGUGAAAAAUGUUCUUUUUGCUGUCACAGUAACACAACCGAUUGUUUUUUCGAAACAAUCGAUUGUUUUUCCUCUGCACCUCUAUAUAAUGCUGUCAAGUUUGCUUAUGCAUGAUUAAACCUAUUUCUCUUUUUCAAAUCUUGCUUUUGGAGAAAUAUGCAUUGAGUGUGCCUCAGAAUUUGAUAAUAAAAGUUAUAUCCACUUGUUUUCUUGAAAGCUCUAUGACAUGUUCUAUUCUUGAAAUGUCAAAAUUGUUUGUACUGCUGGAACUUAUUUAUUAUUAAUAUUAUUAUAACUUGUAGGGGUCAUUAGUAGUUGUUGGUCAUUAUUCCUUGUCAUUUUCUUAUGGUUCUCUUGUCUUCAUUAAAUAAGAAAACUAACACUUUGACCAUCAAAUAUUUACUAAACGCAUAAGUUUUUUCUUGUAUUAUACUUUAUACCUUAAUGAUUAAUAUGAAUUAAUGAAUGUCUAUUUUUUAUAGGACUUUAAAGUCUCAUUCGAUAUUGGAAGGCUUUCCACAUGUAGCUAGGAAGAAGAUGUUGAUCAAGAGUGAUCAAAGGCUUUGAAGAAUCCAAAUCCACGUGUUUGAUGCAAGGCUGAAGUUGCUAUUGUGUUUAGGAUAGGAUCUGGGUAGUUUAAAUGUGUAAUCCACUCUUUGUUGAAUCUAAAGCUAAUGUGUUUUAAAACCUUUUUGAGUUUAAAGUGUUUUUCAAACUAAGUGAAAAACAACCUGUUGUUUUGUCGAAACAACCGAUUGUUUUACUCUUAGGUGUUUUGAAAAGGUUGAAAACUGUUUUGGUUGGUUGACUUGCUGUCAAACCAAAACAAUCGAUUGUUUUGUGGUUUCAAUCGAUUGUUUCUUUGAAAAUCCUAACAUAAUUCUGUUUUGUUAGUUGAAUGUGCUUUAAAUGAUUUCCAAUUGAAUACGUUCCUCUAUUAAAUGCUUUGACCAAUCUUUGAAAGGUAUAAAUGGUUUGUUUGUGUUUUAUAACAAACAAAAGAAACAGAUUUGAGUUUUUCAGUUGUGAAAGAUUGCUUUCAAAUUUUGAACAUUCACAUCAAGCUUUGGGUUUUCUCAAGAGAGAGUGGAAUAGGAUUACAUUUGUAUUGAUUUUAGAUUAUUCUGUAAACAAGUGUAAUUCGUUCUGAAUAUUUUGUAGUUUAUGGUGUUGUUGCCAAGAAGUGUUGUGUGCUCUUGAAGUGGUCAAGAUCAACAUUAUUGGUGUGUGUUGUGCCAAAGUGAGUGUGUUUCUUGAAGGGUUCAAGGUCACUACUUUGGUGGUUUGUGUGUAAUCUGUUUUGAUUGCUUAGUGGAUUGCCUAGUGGCUUCUGGGGACUGGAUGUAGCUCUUUGUUUAAGAGUGAACCAGUAUAAAUUGUUUGUGUAUCUCUUUCUUCCCUUGAACUCCUUUAAAUUCAGUUGUUAUUGCUUUACUGGUAUAAACAACCGAUUGUUUCGCAGAAACAACUGAUUGUUUUUCUAGUGCUUUGUUGUUUUGUGCUUAAAUUCUUGCCUAACUGAAAUUCUGAUCUAGAUUCACACAAAGGAUUUUGUUCAAGCUGAAAAAGUUUUCAAAAACCCCUCUUAAACAAUUCACCCCCCCCCCCCUCCUCCCCCUCUCGUUUAAGGUCAUAUAUUCUAACAAAAGAUACAAUUAAUUGCAUAUAAUGUAACUUAUUUGUCUCACCACUAUUUAAUUAUGAUAUAAAAUAUAUAUUAUAUUUAUAUUUUAAUUUGCAGUGUUCACAUCAAUCUGGAAGUUGAGUGUGGAUAUUAUGUGAUGAAGCACAUGCACACAAUCAUAUAUGAAAAAAUUACCGACUCAUGGAGAGAGGUAAUAAAAAAUGUACUCAAAUAUCUUAAUUAUUUAAUUAUGAAUUUCACUUUUUAUUAAUUAAGUCAAUUUAUAUAUAGUUAUUCAACGAUCCAUCGCCAUUCAAGGAUAAAAAUAUAGAAGACAUUAGAAUGUACUAGGCUUUCUUUUUAAGUGUUUAUGAUAAGAUGUAAAAUUGGUUAGUUUAUUUAAAUGUACAAUGAAUGUUAUAUUUAUCGUUUUUGUACAAUGUUUAUUAGAUAUAAUUGAAUUAUCGAUGAAUGAGUUUGUCUGGAAAUCGUAUACAAUUGUCUGGAUAACAUUCAUAUGCAGGUGAUUACUAUUAAUGAAUGGGGGAAAAUUGAUCAAUGAAUGGGUUUGUCUGAAAAUUGUAUGUAGUUGUCUGGAUAACAUUGAUAUGAGGUGAUUGUUAUUAAUGAAUGAAGAAAAAUUGAUCAAUGAUUGAGUUUUUUGGAAAUUGUAUGCAAUUGUUUGGAUAACAUUGAUAUGCAGGUGAUUUUUAUUAAUAAAUAAAAGAAAAUUGAUAAAGCAAACGUAUUUAAAAAAAAAAAACUUACUAUGACGAUUAUUGUAAUAUAUGACAUAAAAAAAUUGAUUUGACGAGUGGUAGAAAUAUUUCUCAUAGACAAUCACUUACUAUUGUUAGAAAUAUAGGGUUUAACAAGAGGGGGUGAAUUGUUUAGUGAAAGGUUUUCGCAAAGGAUUGAUUAAGAAUGAACCUUUAAUGAAUUACAAAAAGGAAUAUCAGAACAGCCAACAGAAAAGAACAAUUAAAACAGUUGACAGAAAAACAAUCGAUUAAUAUUUAGAUAUAACCAGUUGUUUUUAGCACAAAGAUAAAAGCAAGUAUAACAGUUUGCAAAGCAAGAAUAUCAACUGGUUGAAAUACAGAGAUAAUCGGUUGUUUAUGACAGCAGAGCAAAUAUCAAGCAGUUAUUAAAGAGAUAGAGAUAGAGAGAUUACACACAAGGUUUAUACUGGUUCACUCAAUCUCAUAGCUACAUCCAGUCCUCAGUCAAACCACUGAGUAUUUCACUAUGUAACCAAUCACAAAUUACAACUUACACAACCACAAAGAGGUGACUUUGAAUCCCACAAAGCCUACUCACCCUCUUUGCACCAGCACACACCUCAAGCCAGAAUCACACUGACUUUACAAGAUUUUACAUACACUCUUACAAUAUCAGAAUUCAAAUACAAGAAACUAAGUAAGAGCAAAUUACACUUGACUUCAGGAAAUCACAGGGUUCCUAGAAUCACUUCUUGAACACUUGCAAAAACUCUUUUAAAACUUCUCUCUCAAAUCAGAUUUUAAAUCUUUCUCAAUCAUUGUACAAAAGGAUGAGGGAGAACACAUUUUAUAGCUCUGAGAUAUGACCGUUAUAGUCAGGUAAUCACGAGCCAAAAACAGUUUGAAAAGCCAACAGAAACACGUUAAAUUGAUUUUUGAACAGCUGUUAAGAUACAGCAAUCAACCAGUUGAAAUCUCGAAAUAACCGGUUGAAUGAUAAGUCUGUUGGUCAACCAAGUCAGAGUUAGUUUGAAAAACUCUUAAACAUGCUAUCUGUCAAAUAACCGAUUAAACCGUGACAUCAAUCGAUUGUUUAUCACUUAGCUUUGAAAAAAUUGUUUUCUUAUUCAAACAAAAUUGCUCUAACUAAGCUAAGUUUUUCAAAAGUGAUAUAACACAAAAUCUAAGCACUAAAAACUAAACCCAACCAGCAGCAACACAGCAUCCAAGCAUCUUCACAGAUUUGGGGUCAUCAAAGCCUUAUGUUCAACAACUAUGACGGUUUUUAUGAGAACCAUCAUGGUAAGUCAUAUUUUUUAUAAUUGUUCUAGAAAUACCAGACAUAGAAAGUUUCGUUUGAACAUACUAUGACAGAUAUUUUGCAAAUUUUAUGACAAUUUAUAUACAACAAUCAUAGUAAGUCAACUUACUAUGACAGUUUUUCAACUAACAUAGAAAGUGCAGAGUUCUUAUAUCACCUCAAAACCAUCACAAAAAUCUUGUGUAACCGUCAUAAAAAAGUCUUGUUUGCACUAGUGGGUUGAUUAAUUGUUCUUAUAAUUAAUAGAUAUUACUAUUGAUAGUGAGUAUGUGUUAGUAGCUUUAACUUUAUUUAUACAUCAAAAAAUAAUAAGUAUAUUUAAUUAAUGCAUAAGUCUUAUCAAAUAAGGUUAUUACUAACAUUAUUAUGUUUUUGUGUAUAUAAUAUAUCACCCAAAUGAGAACAUUAGUAUGUAUAGAAUGCUUGGUUUUUUUGUUUGAGUUUGCAUUGUAUGUUUAAUUUAUGACACAAAAGUAUUAAUGUUAAGCAUGUUUCAAUUGCAAGUAUUUGUUCAUGUAUCUCUAUAUUUGCAUGAUAUGUUUGUUUCAAUCUUUAAUGAGUUGAAUUUCUUGUUGGAGUAAACAAGUUCAAUUUCACUUAUAUGUGUUAGAUCUUGAUUUGGCUUUUCAAUUUGAAAAUCUGUUGCUAUUACUCAUGCAGUAAAAAUGAAGAGAAAGUCCAUUAUAAGACUUAGAAAAAGUCAAACAAACUUAGCCUAAUGUUUAUGUGAAUGAACAUAAGUAACAUUAGGUCUGCUCUUCCAAAAACACAAAAUUAUGGGGCUCCUAGCUUUAUUGAUUAUAUUAGUCUUUUCCUUCUGAGACAUAGACACUAGCAUGUUUGCAUUAUCCUUCAUAGCAUCAACAAAUUUUUAUUGUAUCAAGAUGGUCUUUCAUCUUAAUUCUUCAUAAUCCAAAGUCGUUUUCCCAAACAAGUUCUCGAUGUCAAACGUGUUGUUGGUCAUAUUUUCAACUUUUUUUACUUUCUUUUUCUUUUUCCCACCAAAUAAAAAUAAGAUUGAAAGAAAGACUCUUAUUAACUUUAAAAAAAUUUAUGUAAAGAGUCUACCAUAUUCAAAUAUUCAAUAUAUUAUAUAAAGGUCUCAAUAUAUGAAGGUCUCAAUAAAAAAAAACUUACUAUGACGAUUAUUGUAAUAUAUGACAUAAAAAAUUUGAUUUGACGAGUGGUAGAAAUAUUUGUCACAGACAAUCACUUACUAUGACAAUUUUGAUGAGAACCAUCAUGGUAAGUCAUAUUUUUUAUAAUUGUUCUAGAAAUAACAGGCAUAGAAAGUUUUGUUUGAACAUACUAUGACAAAUAUUUUGCACAUUUUAUGACAGUUUAUAUACAACAAUCAUAGUAAGUCAACCUACUAUGACAGUUUUUCAACUAACAUAGAAAGUGCAGAGUUCUUAUAUCACCUCAGAACCAUCACAAAAAUCUUGUGUAGCCGUAAAAAAAAGUCUUGUUUGUACUAGUGGGUUGAUUAAUUGUUCUUAUAAUUAAUAGAUAUGACUAUUGAUAGUGAGUAUGUGUUAGUAACUUUAGCUUUAUUUACACAUCCAAAAAUUAUAAGUAUAUUUAAUUAAUGCAUAUGUCUUAUCAAAUAAGGUUAUUACUAACAUUAUUAUGUUUUUGUGUAUUAAUAUGUCACCCAAAUGAGAACCUUAUUAUGUAUAGAAUGCUUCUUCUUUUUUUUGAGUUUGGAUUGUAUGUUUAAUUUAUGACACAAAAGUAUUAAUGUUAAGCAAGUGUCAAUUGCAGGUAUUUGUUCAUGUAUCUCUAUAUUUGCAUGAUAUGUUUGUUUCAAUUAUUAAUGAGUUGAAUUUCUUGUUGGAGUAAACAAGUUCAAUUUCACUUAUAUGUGUUGGAUCUUGAUUUGGCUUCUCAACUUGAAAAACCUAUUGUUAUUACUGAUGCAGUAACAAUGAAGAGAAAGUCCAUUCUAAGACUUAGAAAAGGUCAAACAAACUUGCCUAAUGUUUAUGUGAAUGAACAUAAGUAAUAUUAGGUUUGCUCUUCCAAAAGCACAAAAAUAUAGGGCUCUCAGAUUUGUUGAUUAUAUUAUUCUUUUCCUUAUGAAACAUAGACACUGACAUGUUUGUAUUAUCCUUCAGAUCAUCAACACAUUUUUAUUGUAUCAAGAUGGUCUUCAUCUUAAUUCUUCGUAAUCCAAAGUCGUUCUCCCAAAAAAGUUCUCGAUGUCAAACUUAUUGGUCAUAUUUUCAACUUCUUUGACUUUCUUUUUCUUUUUCCCACAGAUAAUGUAAAUUAUUGAUUUCUUAACAAUAAUAUAUAAGACAAUACAAGAAUAAAAUUGAAAGAAAUGACUCAUAUUAGCAUUGAAAAAAUUUAUGUAAAGAGUCUAACAUAUUCAAAUAUUGAAUAUAUUAUAUAAUGGUCUGAAAUAUAAAAGGUGACAGAAAAUAUUUAAAACAACUAAACUCUAGUAAAAUAUCUUUUACGUUAUUUCAUCAUAUCGUCUUAUAGAUUUGUUUGUUAAUCACGAGAUAUAUAUAGAGUAAAUCAUCAUCACUUUUCCUUUAUUAAAGUCCCUUUAUUAGUAAAUAAAGAAGAAAAUCUCGAAGAACACUUGUCAUGAUGAAUGUUAUGAGAUGGUGACUCAUAAGCAUUACAUAUUUAUUGAAUUGAAAAACUAGAAAGACGUGAUGUGAUCAAUGAUAGUGCUAGGACUAAUUUGUAUCAUGGGAAAAGAUGGCAAGCGAUGAUGGUGGGAAAAGGGUGUGAAGUUAAUAUCCAACCCCUCAAAUGUCAUAAAGGAAUUCUUGAAACAGCUUCAUAUGGUGAGGUGGUAGAGCCAUUUUCAAAUACAAGCUGCCAUCAUUUGUUGAGCUUGGAAUUAUGAUUGCUAGCCCCUCGUAUAUAAUCCAGCCAGGUCUCAUGAAGAUCGGUCUUCCCCAACCAAAGUCAGCAUCAUAGACUGGAAACUUAGCCCAGCUAUUGAUACCCACAUUUGGACACCCAAAAGUAUGUGCUCCAGGAACAAGAGCAUUUAGAUCAGGCUGUAGCUUCAGAUAGUCAAGAGCUGAUCUCAAAUAUUCGUUGUCCAUUCUCGCUAUUGCGUUGUGGAUUUGAUUUGCAGCAUACCAUGUAGGUUUUGACACGAGAUCUCCUGCCAAUGCUUUGGGAAUGGUGGAGAAGAUAGCAUUGCCAAGGUAACCAGGAGGGAGGGGAGGUUGCAGCCGUGACCUUCCAUUAAUUGGAAUAUAUAGUCUGGUUUCUUGGACUUCAGGAAGGCCUCUUGCUUUGCACACACUUCUCCAUAUAUGAGCUGCCAACAUCUCAUAAGUGCUAUAGUUUAUUGUGUUGCCAUCUUCUUUCGACUUGCCCUUCAGGAUGUUGAGUUGGUCACGACUCAAUUUUAAAAUAGAGGAAACCACAGGUGUGGUGGUGGUGGUGAUGGGUGGUGAGAGCUGGUAUUCGUGGUGAGGAAAAGCUGGUUGGGGUGGUUCCCUGGCACGAAGUAAGUUCCUGUCAAUAAAUGGGGGAACAGAAAUGGGGAUGCCACGAGCCACAUUGGACCAUGAAUUGAUGAAGUGAACACCUGAUUCUCCAUCUGCUACAUGGUGCACAUUACCNNNNNNNNNNNNNNNNNNNNNNNNNNNNNNNNNNNNNNNNNNNNNNNNNNNNNNNNNNNNNNNNNNNNNNNNNNNNNNNNNNNNNNNNNNNNNNNNNNNNUUACCUGAAUGCAUGCAGUGCAGUGCAGCAAAUAGUUAGUUUCAUUUUAUCCUUACAAAGAGAAAGAAAAGGAACGCACCUGUAACACCACUAACGGAUAUGUUUCAAUCCCGGCAGAAUAAUCCACCGCGGGAAUAAGGUUGCUGAUCCGGUCGGUCAUCAUUGGUUGAUGACGUCAGCAGAAGACAAUCACGUGGACCACUCGCAGGGUGACACGUGGAUCGGGUGACAGAGAGAUCAGGGAGCAGAUCACCUAGAGCGGUGAUCGGAGGUCAUCCAAGUGGCCACCAACAGACCAGUUGGCAGAGAAGUCAGGGGACAGAUCACCCAGAACGGUGAUCGGUGGUCAGUAACCAAGCGGUCACCAACAGAUCAGUUCCCAGAUGAACACCUGGGGGCAGGACGCGAGAAGCAACAGAGCACCGAUCAGUCAUCGAGUGCAUGGUCAUCGGGGUCUCGUGUUACACGCAGUUAAGCUGGGACAGAGGUUCCCAGCAAGAGCGUUACACACGGACCUCGCAUGAACAUGUCCUAGAGAAUCGUGCAUGAGAGUGGCCUGAGGGGGCUAGUAAACCGGUCAGUGAUUGGUGACUCCCUCAACCCAUUACGUGCAUGACAUCGUGAAGGGGGAAUCGUUUGCGCAGAGAGCAAUGCCUGGUGAGUGUGCCUAGACCAGCCACACCUGGCGUUCUCCUGAGAGUAUGUGAUUUACCCAGAUGAAAGGAAUGCGCUAAGUUACCCCGCAAGGGAANNNNNNNNNNNNNNNNNNNNNNNNNNNNNNNNNNNNNNNNNNNNNNNNNNNNNNNNNNNNNNNNNNNNNNNNNNNNNNNNNNNNNNNNNNNNNNNNNNNNNNNNNNNNNNNNNNNNNNNNNNNNNNNNNNNNNNNNNNNNNNNNNNNNNNNNNNNNNNNNNNNNNNNNNNNNNNNNNNNNNNNCACAGAAAAGCACAACAGGGUUCUGACACAUGCCAAAGAGGCAUAACAGAAUUCUGUUAGGCGCAGGUACAGAGGGAGGCAUAAAAGAGAAUCAGAGUGAGAUUCAGAGGGAGUUUUUUACACAAUGUUUUUACACACAUUGUUUUUCUAGUGAUUAUGUGAUCUAACUUGAGCGUCGGAGCGCCACCGGCCGCAGAGGCACCACUGUGUGUUUUUCAGGUUCUCAAAGAGACUAUCUGUGGAGCGGACUUGGAGGGCACGUGGUGUCAAGCUGGUGAGGAAGAUCGUGAUGAGGCAACGCUCUUGCGCUAAGUCAACCGGCAGGAUCAUUUGGCGCCCACCGUGGGGCACGUAUAAAACGUGAUUCCCAACCAUAGUUUGUGUUGGUGGUGCUUCGAGUGUUUUCUGUUCAGCUGCUCGCUAUCUCAGUCGACUCCUGGAGUUUUCACCGUUUGUUUGGAGUUCUUUGAGCUGCUGAGUUUGCUGCGGAAGGAUGAGGACAACGCGCUCCAGUUCAGUUGCGCCAUCAACCGACGAAGAUGCUGUGUCCAUGACGCAGGUGAUGGACAUGAUGAGGACGCUGCAGGAGAACGUGGCUGCAUCGCGUUCUGAGCAGGAAAGGAUGCACGAGGCGCUGGUGGCCUCGCAAGCAAGGAACGAAGAGCUCAACAGGAUCAACGAAAAGCUGCGCAAAGCCCUUCAGGAGCGGGAGGAGCGUGCGGCAGGGGACAGAUCCGCACCCCCAUCCCCACCACGCAGCUUUCCUAUGCCGUUUUCCCAAGAGAUCAUGGACUCAGUAGUCCCGGCUAGCACUGUAGCAGUGAAAGCGUUUUUCACUGGGGUGGAGGACCCUGAAGCCCAUCUCACGGCGUUUCAUACUCAGAUGAUGCUCUCAGGGGGCUCAGACGCGGUGUAUUGUAAGGUGUUCAUGAGCACCUUGAGCGGAACGGCGUUGGACUGGUUCGUCAGUAUACCCACUGCCCAUAUUACCACGUUCCAACAGUUUUCCAAGAUGUUUGUUGAGCAGUACAUGGUGAACAAGGCGCCACCUCUAGUGUCUUACGACUUGUUUGAUAUAAGGCAGUACCAAGGGGAGUCCUUGAAGGAUUUCUUGAACAGAUUCGGGGCUCGGAUAGUCCGUUUGCCAGGAAAGGAUGAGGAUAUGUUCGUGCACGCCUUCAAAAAGGGUGUAUUGCCUGGGCCCUUUAGUGAGUCGCUCAUCAGGAGCCACCCAGCCACGUUCGCUGAAAUCCGGCGACGUGCUGUGGCUCACAUCGCCGCCGAGAGCGAGGUCACCGAGAAGAGAGGAAAUGUAGCCCCAGCUAAACCGCGCACCCAAGCGAGGGUACAACCUCAGAGGGUGAUGGAGGCGGCGGCGGGAAAGAGGGAUCAAAGGACGCGUCACCCUUACGACCCUAAGAAAAAUAAGAGCAAGGGGCCAGGGCGCCCCAGGGAAAGUAAUCGCCCCCCGAGGUAUGAGUUCGUGAUGGGAUUAGCUGAUUUGAUCGCCAUCCCAAACAUAGCUGCCAGGCUCAAAGUGCCUGAGAAGACGGCGGAGAAGAUUUUGGGGCCAAAGCCAGACGCAUGGUGCGAGUUCCACAAGAGCUUUGGCCACUCUAUCAAUUCGUGUUUGGCCCUGGGGCACCAGCUUGCCGAGCUGGUCAAAUGUGGUUUCCUGAAGGAUUACUUGCUAGAGAAGCAAGCGGACCAAGCAUCAGGGUCUUAACCAGCGAGCAGCGGAGGGCAACAGCACGAGGUGCCUAUCCACGGCGAGAUCCACACCAUAGCUGGCGGAUUCUCCGGCGGGGGGUGCACAGCGUCGCAACGAAAAAGGUAUGCGAGGUCGAUAAUGUCAGUGGAAGCCUUUGAGGAUCACUCGCCCGAUGUGGAUAUCACGUUCACCAAAGAGGACCGCAGGGACGUGGUGCCUCACGACAACGACCCUAUUGUGAUCUCGCUUGUCACGGCGGGAAGGACCGUCCACCGGGUGCUGGUCGACCAAGGAAGCUCAGCAGACGUGAUGUUUUGGCCAACCUUUGAGAAGUUACAACUGUCCCCUGAUCAGCUAAGACCAUAUGGGGGCUGCUUGUACGGUUUUGUCGGCGACCAAGUGGAGGUGAGGGGGUAUAUCGAGCUGAGGACGACCUUCACCGACGGCUUGGCCUCACGAACGGAGAAGGUCAGGUACCUUGUUGUAAACGCCCCAUCAGCAUACAACAUACUGCUGGGGAGGCCAACGCUCAACAGAACAGGAGUUGUGCCUUCGACAAGGCACAUGAAGGUCAAGCUGCCGUCUAUGGAGGGUAUGAUCAUCACUAUCUGCUCCGACCAGAAGGAGGCAAAGAAGUGUUACGAAAACAACCUCAAGAACAAGAGUUAUGUGUGCCACGUGACCACAACGCCUCCCCCUGGGGUGGAGCCGGAGCGCAAACCCCGACGAGCUUCGGAUACGGCGUUAGAAGUAGCCGCCGAGCGCGAUGCGCCGAUGGGGAAUGUAGAGGCGAGGUCGGAGAGAAACUGCUCGGAGACCGCCAGAGAAACCGGUAUCGCGAGGGCGCUGAUUGCCAGCGAGAGGAAACCUCAGCCAAUAGAGGAAUGACUCGAGAAGGAGAUCAGUGGGAAGGUGUUUAAGCUGGGAAGGACCCUGGAUAGCAAAACGCAAGACCAGAUCGCCGAGGUAAUAAGUAGACAUUUGGAUGCGUUUGCGUGGGCUGCUUCAGAUAUGCCGGGGAUCGACCCCGAUUUCUUAUGCCAUCGUUUGGCAAUGGACCCCCAAGUCCGGCCUAUCCGCCAAAGAAGAAGAAAAUUCAAUGAGGAGAAGAGGCAAGCGAUCAAAGAAGAGACACGGAAACUACUUGCAGCGGGCCACAUCAGGGAAAUCCAAUAUCCAGAAUGGCUCGCUAACGUCGUCCUAGUCAAGAAGAGCAGCGGAAAAUGGUGGAUGUGCGUCGACUUUACAGACUUGAACAAGGCCUGCCCGUAGGACUCUUACCCUUUGCCAAGCAUUGACGCCCUAGUAGACAGUGCAUCAGGGUGCAAGCUGCUCAGUUUCCUGGAUGCCUUUUCGGGAUACAACCAAAUCAAAAUGCACCCCAUGGACGAAGAGAAGACCGCCUUCAUGACGGAAAGAUCGUGUUAUUGCUACAAGGUGAUGCCCUUCGGGUUGAAGAAUGCAGGGGUCACGUACCAAAGGCUGAUGGACAAGGUGCUCGCGCCCAUGCUCGGAAGGAAUGUGCAGGGAAAUUUCUGGGGUUUCUUCUGUCAGAGAGGGGAAUUGAGGCUAACCCCGAGAAGUGCGCCGCCAUUUUGGCAAUGAGGAGCCCCGCCAAUGUGAAGGAGGUGCAGCAACUCACGGGGCGAAUGGCCGCCCUGUCUCAAUUCGUAUCGGCAAGCGGAGAGAAGGGCCACCCAUACUUCCAAUGUUUGAAGAGAAACAACAGAUUUGUUUGGACAAAGGAGUGUGAGGAGGCCUUCGUAAAGCUCAAGGAAUAUUUGGCGAGCCCUCCAGUUCUGUGCAAGCCCCAAGACAUAACACCCCUCAGGCUGUACUUUGCCAUAACUGAAAGGGCGAUCAGCGCAGUGCUAGUGCAGGAUCAGGACCAGACCCAAAGGCCUAUAUAUUUCGUUAGCAAGGUGCUGCAAGGCCCGGAGGUAAGGUACCAGGCCCUAGAAAAGGCAGCAUUAGCGGUUGUAUUCUCGGCGAGGAGAUUGCGCCAUUACUUCCAGAGCUUCACGGUACUGGUGACGACUGAUCUGCCGAUCCAGAAGGUUUUGAAGAAGCCCGAUGUGGCUGGAAGGAUGGUGAAGUGGGCGGUCGAGCUUUCGGAGUUCGACAUCAAGUAUGAGCCCCGGGGAUCGAUCAAAGGGCAAGUCUUCGCCGAUUUCGUGGUCGAGUUGUCCUCAGAAGUGGCACAAAACGCCAAGGGUGACUUUCGCUGGGUACUCUCUGUUGAUGGGUCGUCCAACCAGCUGGGCAGCGGGGCUGGGGUCAUCUUGGAGGGGCCCAACGGAGUGUUGAUAGAGCAGUCAUUAAGGUUCGCUUUCAAAGCAAGCAACAACCAAACAGAGUAUGAGGCUUUGAUCGCUGGAAUCUUGAUGGCUAAGGAAAUGGGGGCGAGAGUGCUGAUGGCCAAGAGCGACUCGCUGUUGGUCACGGGACAAGUAACUGGCGAGUUCCAAGCCAAGGACCCGCAGAUGGCAGCCUACUUGGAGUACGUGCAGGAGCUGAGAAGAUCUUUCGCUUCAUUUGAAAUGGUGCACGUGCCAAGAGAACAGAAUGCCCGAGCUGACUUGCUAGCCAAGCUCGCCAGUUCGGGCAAGGGGGGUAGGCAGAGGACUGUCAUUCAAGAAACUCUGAAAGCGCCUCGAGCAUUCGUGGCAGACCACCAAGUUUUCCAUGUUUGCAGAUCAAUGGGAAGACCGGCGAUAAGCCAUAGAUCCCUAACACAAGAAACUCUGAGGGCGCCGAGGGUCAGAGCGCGCCCGGUAGAAGAAGGAGCAAGAUCGAUGCAGAUUUGCGCUGUCCACGAGCCAGACACGUGGAUAACGCCUUACCAACGUUAUUUAGUGGAUGGUGUGCUUCCAGUUGACUCAACUGAGGCCAGAAAAAUAAAGAAGAGCUCCAGCAAGUUUACCCUUAUUGACGGCGAGCUGUACAGGUUUGGAUUCACGCACCCCCUUCUUGUAUGCAUACACGGAGAGAAGUGCACGAGGAUUAUGGCUGAGCUCCAUGAGGGAAUUUGCGGGAGCCACAUUGGAGGUCGAUCGCUGGCGACAAGGACUAUUCGUGCAGGCUAUUACUGGCCCACGAUGAGAGAAGAUUGCAAGAGAUACGCCCAGCGUUGCAAGCAAUGCCAGCAGCACACCGAUUGGCACAAGGCACCCCUAGAAGAGCUGAAGUCGAUUUACAGCCCAUGGCCGUUCCAUACUUGGGGAAUUGACAUUCUGGGACCCUUCCCAUUGGCGAUCAGGCAGAUGAAGUACUUGGUGGUGGCGAUCGAAUACUUCACCAAGUGGAUCGAAGCGGAGCCAGUGGCCCAGAUCACCGCACACAAGAUCGAGAGCUUUGUAUGGAAGAACAUAGUGUGCCGGUUUGGUGUGCCUAAACGCUUGGUGUCAGACAAUGGGACUCAGUUUGCAAGUCACCUCUUGAAAAAGCUGUGCGAAAAGGUGGGGAUACAACAGGUGUUUGCAUCUGUCGAACACCCACAGACGAAUGGCCAAGUGGAGUCUGCCAAUCGGGUGUUGCUGAGAGGUUUAAAGAGAAGAUUAGAGAAAGCUAAGGGAUCGUGGGCUGAAGAGGUACCCCGCAUAGUUUGGGCAUACCAUACCACUGAGCAGUCAGGAACCCACGAGACCCCCUUCAGUUUGGUUUAUGGAUGUGAUGCGAUGAUUCCAGUCGAAAUCCAGGAAAGCUCGCCAAGAUUCCAGAACUUCGUGGCGGAAGACUCGAACGAAGAAAGAAGAAUGAAUCUGGAUUUGCUGGAUGAGGUCAGGAAGGAGGCGAGAGUGAAAGCCGAAGCGGUAAAGAGAAGAGUUGAGCGAAGGUACAACUCUAAGGUAACGUCAAGGCAGUUUAAAAGCGGCGAUCUGGUGAUGAGGAAGGCCCAUCAGUAUGAGAUGCAGAACAAGUUAUCGCCCAAGUGGACAGGACCGUUCAGAAUAACCGAGGCGCUCGGGAAUAGCGCCUACCGCUUGGAGACGUUAGAAGGAGGGGCGAUUCCUCGCACUUGGAACGCAACACAUCUCAAGUCGUAUUACAGUUAAAGCCUUGUAAGUAAAGACGAAUAUGAAGAGAUUCGAAUAGUUUCUGUUAAAACAAUUUCAAGGGGGCACUCUUUUUUCCCUAAGGAGGGUUUUUAAUGAGGCCACCCAAUAAAGAAGAGUUUUUCAAAGUUUAAAGCUUCUAUGUUUGCAUGCUUAUGGCUUCGAGAGUUUUAGGAAAAAGGCCUUAUUACUAGUAUGUGAUCUAGGGCAACAGUAAAAUCGUAUUGCAUGCUCUCAGUUAAAAGUUUUAAAGUCCCCAUCGCUUUUCGGCGAUCGGCGGCACAGUUAAAGUUGUAAAGUCCUCAUCGUCUUUCGGCGAUCGGAGGCACCAGCAAUGAUCAAAAGACCUCUCUGCACCAGCAGAUAGAGGCAAGAUUAAAAGUCCUCAAUGCGUCCAGGGAAGAGGAGAUGUAACCCCUAGGCAAAGUAGAGGCACCAGAUAAAGUCCUCCUCGACUUUGUGCGAGUGCAGGCGAGAUCAGAUUAAAAGACCUCUCUGCACCAGCAGAUAGAGGCAAGAUUAAAAGUCCUCAGUGCAUCCAGGGAAGAGGAGAUGUAAAUCCUGGGCAAAGUAGAGGCACCAGAUAAAGUCCUUCUCGCCGUUGAGCGAGUUCAGGCCAGAUAAAGUCCUUCUCGCCGUUGAGCGAGUUCAGGCAAAAUGAGCUGAAAGGUCAGGGGUGUUUGUGACCUUAAAGGGAAGGAAAAUGCCUUUCCCCCUUUAAGUGAAACAUCAAUGUUGACCCAGUAAGACCAGAUCAUUGUUCUGAAACUCAGGGAGGUAGAGAAGGAUCCGAAAGGCGCCUCUAUCCCCAGAUGAGGGAACAAUGAUCAGGUCAGGGAAAAGAAGAAAGGUAACAUCGCCAGAACCUUGCGGCGUGAAAGUUGAGACAGUGAAGGGCUUGUGCGGCGAGUACCAGAUUCGAAGAGUUCCGGGCGAUGACAGAAGUAAGGGGAAUUUCACUUGGCAGAUCAGGUAAACUGUAUCUUAAUACUAGUUUGAGUCAAAACCUGCUGCCUAGUAAGUGAUUUUAUGUUAGGGUUUGUUGCCUUAAGUUCACAAGUUUUAUUGAACGUCAUCGCCGAAGAAUUGAUAGUUGCUCAAGUUUACUUUGAGUUAACAGUUUGCCAAGUUUGUUAUAAGGUUAAACAACUUGCUCGAGUUAAAAGCGGUACAUGGAGGGUCAAGUUCAAGUAUUGCUGAGUUCACGCAGUUGAGCAAGUUUCGCCAAACAAGGUAUCACCUCUGACUAUCGAUGCCCUCUGUGCGCUUAGCGCUAGAGCGAUGGAGAAGCAAAGUGAAGUACAAAGAACGGUGACUGAUGAGUUGUUGGUGGGUACGCUGCCCGAAGAACGAUGACUGAUGAGUUGUUGGUGGGUACGCUGCUUGAGGAACGAUGACUGAUCAGUCUUGCCUUGUCGGAGGAAACUUUUCCAAACAAAUUCCUACACAACAAGCUAGCAGACAGGCUAUGCCUUGUCAUUCAUCCAGUACAAAGCAGUGCACAAGAACUGUUAAGGACGAAGCUAAGGGAGUAGUUAGUCGCGAUCAAAGUAGAGGCCAAGAUCAAAGAAGGCAGAUCGCGCUAAGCCUAAGCUGGUUAACAGUUAGUCGUGUGCAAAGAGAAAGACAAAGCUUAAGAAAAAUGCGGAGAGAAAGAUAUGCGUCUGAAACUGGUAUAUAUUAAGCGACAAAGUUUAUACAAGUUCAACUACAACGAAUUGUGCAGAAGUGCAAAAUUACAAAGAAAAAGAGAGAAAAAGCUCAAGGAGGAGGGAUGAGCUUUCCAUCUACCACUUCGUGAUAAAUGUUGAACUGUGAGAGGUCCAAGUCCGGGAGAACGCAUUGGAUCUGCUCGAGCGCCAGCUCGAAUCCGUCAGCAAGGGCGUCAGCACCCACAUUCAUAAGGUCGGCGUUCUCAUCCUCCAAUUUUUGCUUUGAGGCCUCCGCAGCAUUUUUCUCGGUGGUAAGGGCAGCAAGGGAAGAGGCAGCUUCUUCCAAUUGGCCCUUUGCCUCAGACAGCUUGCUCACCACCUCCUCAAGCUUCUUCUCCCCAGUAGCGGUCGCUUCCCUGGUAGACUCGAGCUCCCCCACUAGUUGUGAGUUCAGUUGGCGUAGGGAGGAGGUCUCGGCCCGCAGUUGCGCCACCUCGCAGUCCAGGGAGUUGACAGCUUGCCCCAUCAAGAUCUCAGUCUUGAUGGUCUCUUGGACUUGCGCGAAGUACACUCCCCUGGACUUUUCCACCAUACCCCUCAUCAUGGCUAUGGACCCUUGGGCAGCUUCGAAGUCACUUUGCAGUGACGCCUUGUCAUGCUCAAGCUCCUUUACCCUCUUCUCCAGGGCUAGCACUAUCUGCUUCACCAGGUGCAUGUCCACCUCCUCCCCGGUCCACUCGAUGAGCUCCCGGCUGCGAAUGAGCUGUCGAACCAGAGCAAUGACUCGGCUGAAGUUCUCAUUACUUGUUCCAGAGCCGCUUGGUCGAGAGCUGGCCUCGCCACCUUCAGCGGUAGCAGCGGAGGUUGGCAGUGGUGGUGGCGACACGAGAGGUCCCGGGAGAUCCCCCGAGCAAGCAGAAUCGCCCCCAGCAGGUGGAGUGGAUUGACCAAGUGGUUGGCCUGCUGGGGGAGGAGAUGGCGAUCGAGGAGUUGGGGAUGGCAGUUGUUGGGGAGAGGGAAGGCAUGUUGGCACUGGGGCAGGUUGAAUAGAAGGAGGCGAGGGUGAACCUUCCUCUAUCUCCACUACCUCAAUCUCCCCGGGCUGAAGAGAUGAAGCCCCCCCAACCGCUGGAAGUGUCCUCUUGCGGUGUAUGAGAGGAGAGUCAGAGCUCUCCUCUUUGGUUGAGGGAGCAGGAGCAGCAGCAGCAGCAGCAGAUGAAGGGAAGGCCUUCACCAGCUUCCUUCUUUUCCUUCCUGGCUCAGGGCCUUCAGCUGGCGCGACCGAGAGAGGAGGAGCUGCAAUAGGAUCGGUGGUGGAAGAAGAGGAAAAAGAAGUUUGGCAAGCUCCAGCAAAGCUUUCCUCCUAUCCUUCCCUGACAUCGUAUCUACAUCGAAGGGAAAAAGAAGAGUUAGAUGGCCUAGUUAUGCAAGUGAGUCAAAAUGUAUGCAAACAUGCAUGAGAAUGUGCAAGUAUCCUAAGAGGUGACAGAAGAAGAGCUACCUAUGUAUUUUUUCAAAGCCAACACAUCAAACUCAUGUUUGAUGAGGAGAGCAGAGUUGUACUUGGCCCCCAGGAACAGCCCACAUAGCUCGCGCUCGUAGGGGGCCAUGGCUUUGAGGUCCCGGGGUUUCUUGAAUUCAACCACAGGAACCCAGUAGAGGGGGCACCCCUCGAGCAAUGUUGGACUUUGCAGGGUGGCAGAUAUCAUGUAGAACCUGCCUUUCCAAUCUUUGAAGGAUUGCUAAUACAGGCCCAAGAGCACCCGUCCAGCAACCCCAUUCAGACUAACCCAGGACCUGUCCCCAGGGUUCUUCGCCUCGAAGAAGUAGAGGAACACAUCCACGGAGGCGUUAUGCCCGAAGUAAUUGCAGAAAAUUUCAAAUGCCCGGAUGAAGGCCCAGGCAUUUGGAUGGAGUUGGCAGGGUGCGACGUUCAGCUCCAUCAUCAGCUCCUUCUCGAAAAAGGUGAAGGGUAGGCGUAGCUUCAACCUUUUGAAGAUGGCGGAGUAGACGAAGAUGAAGGGCACCCCAUUGGUGGCCCUAUCGUCCGCACAGAUGGGCAUCCCUCGAGGAGGAAUGCAGACGCGGAUGUUGAAGUCGUUUUCCCGAUCGAUGGCGCAAGAGGGCUCAUCCGGGUCGCUGCUCAGGAGGGAUUUUAGGUGCCCUUGCGGCAGCAAGGUAGAGGUUUCGGCGAGCAACGCCAGGGGAGCCCAGUCAUAGACCCUGGCGUUGUCAUGGUAGGAGGUUGCAACGGGUGGUGGUGGAGAUGGAGCACUUGCGGAAGGCUGUGCACCAGAAGACGAGGCGAUGAUUCGAGCGGUCUGUUUCAAGCGAGCCAUUGAUAGAUAGCUGCAGUGGGGGAAAAGCGAAAAGUCAGAAUGAAUGGAAGGGGAGGGAAUGAUGAAUGGUUCGGUGAAAAACAGAGGAAGGGAAGGAGAAAGAAGGGUCCAGGCGGAAAGAGGAAGAGGGAGAAGCAGAGAGCGGAGUGAAGAAUGCUAGGGGAAGAUGGAUGCAUGAUGAUGAAAGGGGCGAAUGCAAUCGAUGAAAGGAACCUAAAUGGACCAAGAAAGAAGAAAAACCAUACCUUUGAAUGAUCGCGAAAGUUCUGAAGGUAGAAAGCUAGAAGAAAGAUGGAAGCGCAGAGAGGGGAUUCGCAGAGAGUUUGGGAGUUGAUUGAAGAAGAUGAAGAAACAGUAAAGGCGCGCGCCUAUUUGAAAAGAAGGGAAGCGCUAGCGACACUCCACGUUGACCGUUGAUGCGCCCACGUGUCGCGAGAUUAAGGGAGGUAGUCGUAACAUUAAAGGGCAGCACGUGAGGUAGCACGUCAUGUGGGCCCACUUGCCACGUGGACCGAAGGCGCGACCACUUAGUCUCUUCGCUGAGAACGAGUUCACAGCUCGAGACUGAGGGGCUUGUGAUCCGGUCGGUCAUCGGUGGUUGAUGAUGUCAGCAGAAGACAAUCACGUGGACCACUCGCAGGGUGACACGUGGAUCGGGUGACAGAGAGAUCAGGGAGCAGAUCACCUAGAGCGGUGAUCGGAGGUCAUCCAAGUGGCCACCGACAGACCAGUUGGCAGAGAAGUCAGGGGACAGAUCACCCAGAACGGUGAUCGGUGGUCAGUAACCAAGCGGGUCACCGACAGAUCAGUUCCCAGAUGAACACCUGGGAGCAGAACGCGAGAAGCAACAGAGCACCGAUCAAUCAUCGAGUGCAUGGUCAUCGGGGUCUCGUGUUACACGCAGUUAAGCUGGGACAGAGGUUCCCAGCAAGAGCGUUACACACAGACCUCGCAUGAACAUGUCUCAGAGAAUCGUGCAUGAGAGUGGCCUGAGGGGGCUAGUAAACCGGUCAGUGAUUGGUGACUCCCUCAACCCAUUACGUGCAUGACAUCGUGAAGGGGGAAUCGUUUGCGCAGAGAGCAAUGCCUGGUGAGUGUGCCUAGACCAGCCACACCUGGCGUUCUCCUGAGAGUAUGCGAUUUACCCAGAUGAAAGGAAUGCGCUAAGUUACCCCGCAAGGGAAUAACUUAGACACGCAGAGAGAAGCGCUAGAGCCCUUCAAGUAGNNNNNNNNNNNNNNNNNNNNNNNNNNNNNNNNNNNNNNNNNNNNNNNNNNNNNNNNNNNNNNNNNNNNNNNNNNNNNNNNNNNNNNNNNNNNNNNNNNNNCUAAGAGGGGCGCGGUCCAGACAAAGGUGCACUCCGUGCCGCUAAAGGUACAGACAAGCGCAGACACGCGCAGACGCUCACGUUUUACUGAUUCUGGAGGUACGUUGCCACAGAAAAGCACAACAGGGUUCUGACACAUGCCAGAGAGGCAUAACAGAAUUCUGUUAGGCGCAGGUACAGAGGGAGGCAUAAAAGAGAAUCAGAGUGAGAUUCAGAGGGAGUUUUUUACACGCUAUUUUUACACACAUUGUUUUUCUAGUGAUUAUGUGAUCUAACUUGAGCGUCGGAGCGCCACCGGCCGCAGAGGCGCCACUGUGUGUUUUUCAGGUUCUCAGAGAGGCUAUCUGUGGAGCGGACUUGGAGGGCACGUGGUGUCAAGCUGGUGAGGAAGAUCGUGACGAGGCAACGCUCUUGCGCUAAGUCAACUGGCAGGAUCAGUUGCUAUGGUUAAGGUUGUGAGUGAAGUGGUCCAUGGCAACGGUGGCAUGAGCCUCAACGAAAAGUACACCCUGCCCGUCACAAUAAAUCUCCAUGCGGUGGUCGUCACCGUGGCGGAGGCGGCCGGCCAUUGGGUAGAAAAGGACGAGGGUCUUACUUAGGGCUUCUUUCAAAAUGUUGGGAUGGAAGAAAUUAGAAGUCCCGUUUGAGUUGUAGAAAUAGAGGGUGGGAAUGUGGUAAUUCCCCGCCAGCAAAUCCAGGUCUGAGUUCCACAACACCUUCCGCGGGGUAGCCUUUGCGGGUUGCACCAUUAUGGACUCCUUCACACUAAUCGUCAUAAUCUCUGCUUACAACUAGGGAUAGACGUUGUGUUAAGGGUUGCUUUUAUUUAUAAAGAUUAUCCUUGUUUUUUAUAAGGGUUGAUGUAUCCUCGCCAACAAAUCCAUGUUUGACAUCCACAACACCUUCCGCGGGGUAGCCAUUGCGGGUUGCACCAUUAUCAACUCCUUCACACUACUCGUCAUCAAUCUCUGCUUACAACCUACAGGCAUGUAUCCAUAAUGUCCCUAUAUAUCUAACCUAAUUCAAUUAAUGCUCUCACCAUUUCUACUCAACUAACUUCCUCCAAUACGUAGUACUACUUUUUAUUAUUCGUGAUCUCUGUUAUAGCACGUUUGUAAUUUGUUUUAAGUUAUCUUCUUAUUUAGUAAGGAACAGUUGAAAUCUACCAUAAGUAAAAUUGUAACCCAACUUAAAAAAAAACUAGCAAUCACACCUGAAAUCAGAAAUUUUUAUAAAUUUUCUCUUUAAUUAUUUUUUAUUUUCUACUCUUUUUUUCCUUGUGUUUUGUAACCGGGUGAAUAGUGUUGGUUACCAAAUGAAUUUGAGAAAGGAUGAAUUGUUUGGAUCUAUUUGUUACCAAAGAAAUCGGAAUGCGGAUAUGCAAAGAAACUGUGGGGGAGUGUCUCACUGGUGAAUAAAGAAAGGAAGAAAAAGUCUUCUUUCGUUAAUGUUUUCUGCACAUUUAUUUUCCUUUUCACUCUUAAAAAGUUAUCUAGCACACGGACACUCAUGUGACACGGACACAAAAAUACGUAUAUCUGAAAUGUAGGAUACGGGGACACAAAUCUAUAUAUUAUAUAAUUAUGAAUUAUAUAAAUUGACAAUAAAGAUUUAUGUGCACAAGUAUGUUCGAGAUUAUUUUUUGGAGCAGAAAAAUAUUUUUCAUGACUGGUUUAAAAAGAUUUGUUUCUUAAGUUUAUAAUCAUAAUAAAAAUUUAUACAAUAAAUUUGAACUUUUAGAAAAUUAAUGUAUUUUUUCUUUUUAAAAUUGUAUUAGAAUCGUACUAUAAUUUUCAGAAAUCCAACAAAUACUUUUUAAAUUUGACACUUUACGGAUACGUGUCCUACAAGUGUCAUACAAGUGUCGGUGUCCGAUAUGAGUAUCCUACACUGACACACCAUUUAAGAGAAGUGUCUGAACUUCAUAACUUAAAAGGUUUGUGUUAAAUUACCAUCUUAUCUUUUCUCUAGACAAGUAGAAUUUUCUUUUCACUCUUUUUAACACGAUUUACUUUUACUAUUAUAACAUUAAUUAUAGUCUCAUAUAUAGGUGAUUGUUGGGCCCAUUAUCAAGAUAUCAUAAACUCUUACCCCAUUUCAUUAUUGAGUGUUAGAAAUAUAGUUGGCAGCUCACCUACUUCUAUAUUACCUCAUGUCGGUGUCCUCAACUCCUUCUUUCUAAUGAAUGUCUUCGUUCUCUCAUAAGUGUCUUCCUUGCAAACUUCAAAUGGUAUUGGUAAAAGGUAUUUCGACGUUUAAAUAAGAUCUGUAUUCAGUGCUGGAUAUACUAUUAAGGCAUUAUGAUGACGUAUCUUUUUCUCGAAAUCUAUGAUUACUUAUAUGAUUAUCAUGAACCCUUUGUUAUUAGGCCAAAGUAACAUUUUGGAUUACAAUUAAGAGUGUAUUACCUAAUGUCUAAUCAUUGUUUGAAGCGGUCAAUCUACUAUUGGAAUUUAUAAAUUUCAUCAUAUUGGUCGACACAAACAAGGUAUUAAGAGUUGCAUCUAAACAGUCCCAUAUCGAAACAGGAAAAAAAACAAAUUAAUAGACAUGGCCAAACAUUCACAAAUUAAUAUACUCAUUCCUUCUCAAUAUAGAUGGAUUUUAAAAGUAUCUCUUCUCUAUAUAGCCGCAUUUGAUUAGCACGCACUUGUAAAUCGAAGAGAUAAGAAUGCGACUAUAUAACCGCACUUGUAAAUACCAUUUAUAAGUGAGGAUAUUUCUUAUAGCCGCACUUGUAUAUGCCAAAACAUUAAAAAAAAUUCAAAAAAUUUAAAACACCGCCAAUAUUGUGUGAAGGCAAUGUUGAUGAAGAGUGGCAUGGGAGCGCCAGCAACGACAACGACAGCGUAAGUGGCGACGGACAGGGAAGCAGCGACGGAGCAAACCAAAAACCCACAAAGGCAAUGAAAGAGUACUGACCAAUGCAAGAAACCAAACAAUGUAAGAAAAACGAAAAAAUUUAUACAUGAAGAGUGGCAUGGGAGCGCCAGCAACGACGGUGGCGAAUAGGGAAGCAACGACGGAGCAACGAAUGUCAGUCAAUAAAAUAGUGUUUCGAGACCACCAAUGCAAGGAAAAAAACAUAUAUAAGAAAAACGAAAACAUUUAUGCAUAUAUUUGUGAAGAUGAAGAGGAAGAAAGAGAGCUCAAGAAACUUACAUCAACACAAAUGAAAUGUAGGUGUAGCAGAAGGAGAUGAACUCAGAGCGCAAACGCGAAUCGAAAGCAAAGACGAGAAAGAAAGUAUGAAAUUGUGUGUGGCGCGCUUCAAAAUUUAGGGUAAUAAAGGAUUUACGAAUGCGACUAAAGGUAAAACUGCAUUCGUAAAUGAAAACGCUUUGAUUUACAAGUGCGGCUAUACCAAUAGCCGCAUUCGUAAAUCAAGUGUUUUGUACAAGUGCGGUUAUACAAAUAAUCGCAUUCAUAAAUAAAAAUAAUUUCAAAAAUACCACCGCGUUUUUUACGAAAGCGGAUAGUACAAAAGCCGCACUAAAUAAAGAGUACUUUUUCUUCUUUUUGCAAAAGUGUUUAUUUUCCUUUUCACUCUUAAAAGGUUUGUUAAAUUACCAUUUUACCUUUUCUCUAGACAAUUAGAAUUUUCUUCUCUAUCUUUUUACCACGAUUUGCUUUUACAAUUAUAACACCAAUUAUUGUACUAUUUUUAUUCAUCUUCUCUUUAAACUUUACAAAAUUCUCAUAGUCUCUCAUAUAUAUAUAUAUAUAUAUAUAUAUAUAUAUAUGACUGUUGGAUCCAUUAUCAAGAUCUCAUAAACUCUUACCCCAUGUCAUUAUUAAGAGUUAGAAAUAUAGUUGGGAGUUCACCUACUAUGUUACCCAAUAAAUUAGUCUCUUUUAAUAAAGACUUAAAAAUCCCCGGAGAAACGACCUCCUUUAUGUAUUUAAAAUAUCUAAUAAUUGAUCUAUCAUUUUCCAACUCCAUUAAAAGUAAUAUGAAUGUUUACUGAUGGUGAAAUCCACUGCAAACAAUUUUCUUUUCAAAAAUCCUAAUCAUUAUUUGACAACUAUAAUCUUCAUAAAAAAAAUCCAUAUUUAACCAUUUUGAAAUAAUUAAUCCAAAAUAGUUGUUUUGGCUUUUUUAUUUAAGUCACAUAAGCAUAACCUACUCCAGAAUACACAGUUUGAUAUUUGAGGUAUUUUUUAAAAUAAAUAAAAAUGAUUAUAUAGUGGUAGAUAGGAUUCGGAUGAUUUUAACUCAAACAAAUCUUAUCGAACAAGAUUAAUUAGAAAAACUAAAAUAUAAACCAAAAAAAAAUAUUUAACUAUAAAUAGAAUGGAUAAAACCAAGAUACAUCAAAACAUACAGAGUUCUCUAGUUAGACGGAUACUCGUCGCUUUUCCUGUAUGAAAUUAUAUGCACUAAAUGACUUUUCAAUCAGUAAAGUAAAAUGAGUUUGCGAAAUACUUAUUUUGAACAUAUACAUGUAUAUUACGGAUCAUUUUAUCUGAAAUCCUAAGCCACGACGAAAUAAUGUUUCUAGACUGAAGAUCCGAAUGCAACAAUUUCAAAGAAAUAAGAAAGCAAAUUAGCUCGAAUCCAACAAACUAAAUAAUUUGACUUUCUUCAAAAAAGGCCUUUUUUUUAAUUUAUACAUAAGAUAUUUUCUCACUUUACGCAUCACUUUUUGAGCUAGGAAUAAUGAAAGAUAUUCCCUCGUAUACAAUCCCACCAGGUGCCUUGACAAUGGAUCUUCCCCAACCAAAGUCAGCAUCGUGGAUUGCAAGCCUUACCUCAGCUAGUGAUGCCAAGGUUUGGACACCUAAGAGUAUGUGAUCCACGAACAAGCGCUUUUAACAACUAAGACUUGAGUGCUGUAAAUCUUUGUCUCACAGCACAAGCUAUCUUCCACUCAUUGAUACUGACCAAACCUUCAAUAAUCUUCUGUCUGACCCUUAUAUAUGGUAUAAAACCUCUUUCUGNNN
rnacentral:lncRNA from 1 species